GCAACAUGAAGGACUUCAAUGCAGGUUUAAAAAGGGAGUCUCCACAACCAUGGGCAUGAGGAGGUGGAAAAUGAGGAAGAUCUCCUCUCAAACCUUUCCAGUUUGCCCAGAGUGCUCAUUUCCCAUCCCUUGGAAAACCUGAAGUGUGGUCUUUAGAGCCGACCAGAUGUGACAGGAUGGUCAGAGAUGCUCUGGGAGAUUUCAUGAGCUGCUCUAGGAACUCUCCAGCUGUUUCCUCCCUUUGGACUGACAGCAAACUACUGGAAAGCAUUGCCAGCAUCUCUGUGGCUCCUUCAAUCCCCAAAGAUCUUCACAAACCAGAGACCAGGGGAAAUCAUCCAGACUCACUCUUCUUCUCCUUCCACCUCCAGUGAUCCAGUCACUAUGGAAAAGUGAAUUAAUUGCUGGGACAGACUUAAUUUAUGGAGCCCUUGCUGCUCUCCAGCUGAGCAGAGGCCCCAUAGGUGCUUUUCACACUCAUGCUGUAAGUGUUGUCCAUCCUUGCUCAAACCUGCCAAAUCCUGUUUUUUGUCUUGUCUUCCAGACCAGGGGAAAUCAUCCAGACUCACUCUUCUUCUCCUUCCACCUCCAGUGAUCCAGUCACUAUGGAAAAGUGAAUUAAUUGCUGGGACAGACUUAAUUUAUGGAGCCCUUGCUGCUCUCCAGAUGAGCAGAGGCACAUCAUACCAGGACACACAUCUUUCCCAGGGCAAAUUCCAAAAUCCCUGCCCAUCAUACAUUUUUCCAUCAUAGAUGUCUCGUUCACCCACAAGUUGGAGCAGUUUAGGGGGCAAAAGUCUGAGGAUUUGCCUUGGAAAUCCCUUGGAAGCUGAAGUCCACCCUGAAGAGUUCUGCUGGAUGCCAUCAGCCUAAGGGGCUUCCCUCCUCGCUUUUGGGCCAGCUGAAGGAUCUGGGGGGGAGAUUCCCAUCUCCUCUCCUGCCCUGCAAAGGCAAAAUAGAGAUGCAGGGCCACUAAAAUUGGAGAAAGUCAUCCACCUGUAAUUCCAUGGUUUUGUGAUCCAGCUGUUGUGUCAGUGAACUGUUCCUCUCUCACAUGGAUGGGAAAUAAAUGCUGACACCAUUUCUGACCUUUUCUCCUUGCCCUGGAGCUGGUGGAUACACAAUCCCACAUUAUGGGAGAACUCUUGUUGGAGUGAGACCUCUGGGACAGAAAUGACUGCUGUUUGAGUCUAACCAGGUAACUGACUGGUUUUCCCUAUUUCUUCCUUGUUUAGGAGGUCUUUGCCAUUGAGUGCCAUUCUGCUUUCCAUUUUUUCCACUCUUCCUAGGCUGACUUGAUUGUCCUUAGGCUUCUCCUUGUGACCCUUGUUUCUCAGAACCUCUUCUUUCUUUUAAACCAAUCUUAUGGCAAAUGGCAAUAAUGUUAUAUUUAUUUUUAAUUAUUUUCUUUUUUUUUCCUGAGAGUUGGACAGAUCCUUAUGUGGAUCUGUGCUGUUGACAGUAACGAGUACAGACAAAGCAUUUGAACUUCUCACAGAUAUCCUGACAGUCCCACUGGAAGAAAAAGCUUGGAAAACUGUGUCACAGAAAAACACAAGCACAUUUCUACAGAAGAAUAUAAACACUGAGCCUGGAAUUACUGAGAGCUCUGCAAACCCUGGUGGGGGGUGUAAUUAUCCCAGCCUUCAGUGGCUGAAGGGAGUGAAGGCACAAAUUGAGGGUGUGACCCAGCUCUCUCCGUGCCACGGUGGCCAUCGAGGGCUCCUCUCUGACUCUGUUCCCAUUUGUUAAAGGAAAGUUUCUUCCCAGCUGGCUGGGACACACCACCACACCAUGUGCACAUCCAAAACCUAUUUCUGUCCCAGCCAAAGGGUUUAUUUUUAAGUGGCUGCCUUGUGGGCACUUUUGAGUUUCCCCUGGACAUGGACCCUGACCCAAAUUUACCCAUAGGAUGGGGACUGCAGUGCAGGGGUGGCACAAACAGGCCUUAAACCACCACAGAAAGCUCUACAAGAGCUCAUUUAAUGCCAGCAUCACUCAUUUAAUGACAACAUCUCUGUUUUAUGUCCAGCUGCAGCAUCAGUGUGAGCACACUCAGGGAGGGGCUGCCUCACCCUUACACUAAUGACAACAUCUCUGUUUUAUGUCCAGCUGCAGCAUCAGUGUGAGCACACUCAGGGAGGGGCUGCCUCACCCUUACAGAGCACAAAUCCAUAAGCACUUAACACUGGAGUCUUAUUUCCUUAUGACAUCAGGAUGAGAUGGAAAAAUAGGAGGGAAUUUAAUAGGGACCAUUUGCUAUUGCUCAAAUGAGAAUGGAGUCACACAACCAAAAAAUGGAGAGAUGAUUUUGAAAGGGCCAGAAACUUACUGGAUCUCAGCUUUGCUUCACUUAGGAAAGCUGGGACCAAAUAUAAUUUAUAGGGUUAGAUCGGAAGGGGGGGGGGGGGGGGGGGGGGGGGGGGGGGGGGGG
ensembl:lncRNA